rnacentral:rRNA from 1 species
CCUACGGGUGGCAGCAGUGAGGAAUAUUGGUCAAUGGGCGAGAGCCUGAACCAGCCAAGUCGCGUGAGGGAAGACGGUCCUAUGGAUUGUAAACCUCUUUUGCCGGGGAGCAAAAAGCGGUACGUGUACCGCAUCGAGAGUACCCGGAGAAAAAGCAUCGGCUAACUCCGUGCCAGCAGCCGCGGUAAUACGGAGGAUGCGAGCGUUAUCCGGAUUUAUUGGGUUUAAAGGGUGCGCAGGCGGCGAGUUAAGUCAGCGGUAAAAUUUCGGGGCUCAACCCCGACGAGCCGUUGAAACUGGGUGCCUUGAGUGGGCGAGAAGUACGCGGAAUGCGUGGUGUAGCGGUGAAAUGCAUAGAUAUCACGCAGAACUCCGAUUGCGAAGGCAGCGUACCGGCGCCCAACUGACGCUGAAGCACGAAGGCGUGGGUAUCGAACAGGAUUAGAUACCCGAGUAGUC